AUCCAAACGACGAGUCCAUAAUAGAACGAAACGCAAGUCCUGAAU
rfam:Schistosoma haematobium scaffold488_12, whole genome shotgun sequence.